rnacentral:sRNA from 1 species
AAAUAAAAAAGUCUUCUGUUGCCGGGCUUUGAACUCGGUAAGUUCGGCAAUGAAGACGAAUUUAGCCAGUGUGCUACAACGGAUUUGUUUUGUUAUAUUU